GAGAGUUCCAAUGGUCCAGAUUGCCUGGGCAUCCCUGACCCCUCCGGACCACUUCCCUAGAGGGCAUCCUGUGCCCGACUGCUGGGCUGGCAUUUGCAGAGUACAGAUCUAGGCUGUCUGGAUUAUACUACACAUGAAGAGCCUACUGUUUGCAAAAAUUGACUUUUCUUUCCCGCGGCCACGCUGCAAAGGAUGGAGCUCCAGCAGCGAAGCAGCAGUCACUGGUCUAGCUGAAGAGGAAGGAGCCAGGCUCCUGCUUCGUAACCGAGGCAUCUAGCAUCCAGCCAAAGAACUUUUUUGCCUCUGACUAAGGAGCCACUGGUUAUCGGAGCCGGCUCAAUUGAAUACCCAUUCGGAUGAAAGAGUGAAGUAUAAAAUAACAAGGUAGCACAAAAAGCUGGGAAGAGGGACUCGAUGAGAUCACGUAGACGCCCCCAGGAUCAGAUCCUAAAUGCCGGUAGGGGCUUAUAUAAUCAAUAUUUCUCUGUCUCUUCCUCUCCCUUUCGUUCUCUCACUCCCUCUAUCCCUCACUUUUCCCCUCUGUCCCUUUCUCCUUCCUCCUCUCUCGCCUCUCCCUCUCUUACUUCAGUCUUCUGAAGAGCGAUAUUGCUACAGGCUUGGACCAGGGAGUGACCUGCAGGUGGAACUCUGAAUAUGCUGCCUCUUCUAGAAGGCCUGCUCAGCGUGUCACCUCUUUAUGUCUUCUAAGGAGAGAAUCCAUUGGUAGAGGAGGGAGGGCUAUGUGAGCCGGGGUAAGACAAACUGUUACUAAUAGUCCACCUUGUGCCGGUUAUUCAUUAAGCCUCAGUGUAGCCGCAUAAGAUGCUCAGGCACAGCACGUGACCUAAAGUCUGGAUCUUCAAACACCAGCAUCACAUCCAGAGAGGCCAGAGGGUCCCAAGACAAAACAAGCCGGGGCCAAGACGCACUCAGAGCUCCUAUCUCACCCUCUUAGGGGUGUGCUCGGGGCACCAGAUGGGUUAUUAAAUGUUAUUCUCUUUCUCCCUUUUUGGUUAAGCAGAGGACUGCAGAGGAAAGCCUCUGAAUCAAAUGUUUGCUCCACACAGUUCAACUGAAAUGUAGGUUGUGAUGAGUGGACACGUGCUCCACAGCUAAGAGACCAACCGAGGGCAUCCUAUCCCACUCGUGGGUCUAAGGGGAGACUUACAGAAGGCAUACUUACUCUGAAGAUGGAAUGAUAGCUGAAGAGACAGAGUGAUGCCUAGGGCCUGUCAGACACCCAGUUUAGCCUAAUACAGAAAAGCACGGAGGUGAGAAACAACAGGGUGAAUCCAAGGAAAUUCAACAGGAGCAUGUGAGAGGCAGGAGCCAGGGAGAGUUAGACAUGGCCCGAAACAAGUUCUCCCCUCCACCCUGAGGAAUUCUGGUGCUUCAGCACUGGCUCCUGAAGAAUUGGGGAAACUUCCCAGAAGGUUGUCAGCCUCUCUCCGGCAGGAGCUUUACAGAGGUCUGUGGACACUUCAGAGCACCCACACGGGCCAGAGAAGUAACUGGUCACGAGGCUUCCCCCAGGGGGACUUCCUCACUCAAGCGACACAUUAAACUCUGAGUCAAUGAAUGCCAGAGGUUAGGGGUAAAGAUGACAGCACUUCACCUCAAGCUACCUCCUAGUUUUCAUAAAGUUUGGAAUUGAAGCUGACGAGAUGUAGACUCACCGUAAAGAGCUGGAAGCAGCAAGCAUAUCUGUGGCCCAUGAAAAGGGAGAGGGGGACCAGGAGGGCAUGGGCUGGAGAAGGACGAGGUUGUGUCCAGAGGAAUGGAGCAAUUAAACUUUAAACUAUUCUUUUCA
rnacentral:lncRNA from 1 species